rnacentral:lncRNA from 1 species
GCUGUAGGAUAUGUGGACACACAACAGGUUGAAUGAGUAAAACCCUGACAGGACUCUGCAGUCAAAUUGCUGUUUUUUUGUGGAAAGUAGGCAAAACUUCCAUUAUAAGCAUGACAUAAGCAUGUCAUAAACAUGUCAUUACAGAUGGCAUAGCUCGUCCCACUAUGUCAUUUCAGGCAGUGUAUAAUGAUAUAGUGACAUGUUACCAUCAUCGGUGAAAGCUCUCGAAAUGUGUGAUGGAACAACAUGUGACGCCACUCAAAAGUCCGAGAGCUGUUUUCACAGGGUCACCGACCGGAGACCUGCCAUUCUCAAACAGAUAAAAGAACAACAUUUUUUUUCUCAUCGAGAUUCGGAUAAAGAGGAAUUAUGAGACCAGCUGUCUUCAUGGGUCAGUUCAAGAAGCUGAUGGACUGCAAGACAAGAUGAUCAUCCCCUCUGGAGAAUCAUUCAUAUGGGCGUACAGGGCACUCUGAUAAAGGGGCUUUCUUCUCGGCGCUAUUUUUAGACUCUCGCCAGAUGUAAUCUCAGUCGUUUCCCUGGAAUUUCUCAUUGCACAUAAAGCGUCUUAUUUCUCACCGGCUUUGGAACGCUUACAGCCGCUUCUCUUUCCAAUCGCUCCCGAGGGACAGUAAGAUAGCACAUCCUAGACCAUUGCGCUGUCUGACUUGAGAAAUAGGCCGAAUAACCAUGAGAAUGCAAAACUUUCUUCCGAUUGAAGAAAUACAAAAUCUGUCCAAAACUCCCUCUCUGAAGUAGCAGCUGUUUUAUAGAUGGUCACCGUUUGCUCUUGUCGUGAAUAGGCUCAAAACUAUUUGUUAAGUUUCAUUCCCUGUUUCUAGUAGGAAUAUCCAGCCACAGCCUGAGCUCUAUCCUAAAUGGCAAUCCUCACUAAUUCAAAUGAUUUUGACACCUUUUAACAGCAGACUUACUAUUCUUGUUAUAAAAUGGAGACAGACAGCAGACAGCACACAGCAGGCAGUCAUUUUGUGGCUGUGAUGUAAACCAGAAUCGACAGGCUAAGAGGUAUGUCAAGUUUGCAGAUAUUUCUUCCAUCUGCCCUUUUCCCUCAGACUGGAGCUCCGGAAGGAUCCAGAAAAGAUAGGGGUGAGACCAGGGCAAAAUAUGUCUGCUGACAUUUGCCAAGAAAUGUCAAUAAACAAGCGUGAAAAGGAAGAGCA